GAAAAAGCUGGGAUCGACUCGCGUCUAUAAGUACGGGCCUUGGGAGAGCAGCAGCAGGAGGCGGGUAUCCAGCACACAGCUCAAAUUAAGCCUCGAGAUGGCUAAGUAGUCACAACUGACCACAAGAUGGCGUCGCUGGCCAGGGCUGCCCGUCUCCUGGUGGUCGCGUUGCUGGUCGUCUUCUCCGCUGCUAUCACGGGCUGCCACGGAGUUCACAGGGAGAUCAGCGGUCGACCCGGGUCAAUCCCAAGCACACCGCGUGGUAUCAUUCCCCGUCCCCACAUUCCGAUUCCAUGUGGCCGCGGACUAUUUCGAUGCCCACCGCCGCCACGCGGUGUCGGUGCACCUCCCCCUCACCCGGACAAUGGAGGGCAGCCUUGAUGCAUGCAAGCUAGCUAAUUCUUCCACGUACGGCCAAAGUCAACUAUAUAUAUUCGCAAUAAUAUGCGCUCGAUCGGGUACUUGAUAAUAAAACUUGAGUAUGGCCCUGCUCUCAUGUGGGUGUGCACUUAAAUUUUUGUUUGGAACUUUGGGUGUGAACUUAAUUAGUUACAACGUGUAAUCAAUAAAACUGCUUCCGUUCAGAAUCAUAAUAAAAAAUACUCUUUUUAUAGUA